CGGCCGCGGGGGCGCCAGGCCGGUGUCGCCCGAGGCAGGCGGGCCCUCGGGGCGGCCCCUAGCGCCCGAGGGGAGCUGUUCUCCCCUCGCCUCUCUCCCUACUCACACCCACCCCUCCCCACACAUCCCCACACACACGCUUGCUCACAGCUUGUCGUGUUGUUUAAAACAGGUGGAAGACCUCUGUAAUGAUAUUAUGCCUUUCAAUAAAAAUUUUAUGAGGUGUAUUUGAUUAUAGAUUAAUGUGUCCCUAAUAAAACGGACGGAUGGAGCAGAUCGGAGGGCCCCCUCCCCCUGCCACACUCACACACGCCCGCGCGGCCACACACACCCCGACGUGAGGCUGGGUCCUUGGGACACUCCCUUCUGAUUUUUUUCCCCCUACAGAGGUGAGGUUGAGCAGCCUUGAAUCUGAGGGAAAUGC
rnacentral:lncRNA from 1 species